GAGCGCCCUGAGGGGUGAGCCCCCUCAUGGAUGAGUCAGUCACCUGAGGGAUGAGACCCCUCAUGGAUGAGCUCCCUGAGGGGUGGUUUUGGACAGCUGUAAUUCUCCUGCAUUGAGAGAGGCCUUUCAGCAUUGUCUUCAAUCAGCAUUUUGAAUGAAGUGCUUAAUUGUGCCAAAAAUUCAUUGCAAUACACAGGAUAUGGUCCUUCCUUUUGUGAUCCAUCAGCAGCUGAAGCAUUCCUGAAAGGAAACCUGUUGAACAUACAUGGGUUUGGCAAGAGUGAGUUGAGCCCUCUAUUGGUUUUGAAAAAGGGUGUUUUCUCCACAAAUCCAAAGCAAAGCAAUUCCUGUAAGCUGAACACUCAGUAAUGGCAAACGUGAAGAAACUAAGGAGACAAGGAAGAACUUUCCACAGAGGUUUUUCUCGUGGAAAAUGGUGGGAAGAGAUAAGACACUUCAGAAGCUGUUGAGACACACUGGUCCCCAAAACACUUCAGAUAUGACUGAUAUGUCUGGAAUAUUUUCUUCUGUCUUGCUGACAUGGCUGGAAAUCUGCAAAGGCAGCAUCCUACAGCUCUCUCAGGGGGAUGCAACAGCAGAAAGACCUCUCAGGUGGUACCAUGUCUGCAUAUCACUGUACACAUUCCACCCACAGAAUCUUCCUGGUUUCCUCUAAAGAUUUAGCCCAUCACAAGGUGUUGGCAUCUCUCUUUUCAGUUGCUAAGUUGUUUUUACAAGGCAGUUAAAAGCAUAUUAAAUACUUUCCUAAAAUUAUUUUUCCACGGAGGAAAUUGCUGUAUUUGGCACAAUGAUAUUAUAUGAUCAUUAAUGGGAAGUGAAACUGAGCCAGUUUCUCUUCAAAGUGUGGCCAGCCCUGUGGGACAAUUUGAGAACUCCUGUUUCAAAUAUGUUUAGUUGUGUAUGUUUAGAAACUGCUUUGGUGUUAUUCACCUCCUGACACUGACACUUUUGCUGUGCAUAGCUGAGAUUCUUGCAUAAUUUAACAGAGCCAUCUCAGGUGUCUCCCACUCUGUUCCCAGCAUUCAAGCUGUGUUCUCUGGGCUGUGGCACAGUUUGUGUUACAUUACAUUUACUGAAGAGUUUACAUGACUUGCUUGUUUAGAAAAUUUUCUAGAAAACAGGUUGGGUGGGGGUUUUUUUCAUUCACAUCUAUUUUAUUUGCUGCAAAAAUACUUUAUGACAGCUGUCUCCAGCCAAGUUUAUUUCCUUCUCUGAUAUGAAUAAAAACAAAUUAUUCUAUUUUUCAUCUCAAAUUCCAGCAUUGUUGGUGCAAGUGAUAGUCAUAAACAUAUUUUUUUCUGUUGCAUUUUAAAUACUUUGUUAUUUUUUUGUGUUACUGUUUCAUCUUCAUAGUAUUCCAGCAGACAGGCUUGUGGACAGCACAAAGGACUGGCUGAAUGGAACUGGAACCAGCAAAAUAUCUGUUUCAGUCAUUGCAAACUGAGGAUACUGGAAAAUAUAAUGUUUCAGUCAUUGCAAAUCAAGGAUACUGGAAAAUAUGUUAAAAUGGUUUCAUUUAUUAAAGGCAUAUUUAGUUUGUUUUCUCACUUUUUCCUAUUAUAAUUGCAAAACCUUCUGAUUUUUUUUUUUUUUGUUCAGCAAUACUCCAAAGUAUUGCUAUCUAGGUAUAGUAAAUGAAUUAUGCAAAUUAUUUUAUUGAACAAACAUGCACAUUUAUGUGUACACAUUAUUUGCCUGGUCUUCCUAUUACAGAUGCAGCUUGUAGUAACAUCCUAGUUUGUUAAAGCAAAAACCUGCUCUAGAGAUUCCAGAUUUCUGACUGAUACAGUAGAACUCUGUCAUGCUUGUGUAGGGCACGUGGAGCUUGAAUACAGUAAUAUAAAUAAAUAUUGAAAUAUGUUGAACAUUAUUUUUUGUUGGGUUAGGUUGAGAAAUUUUUCUAGCUGCUCAUAACAUAAUUUUAACUUUCUUCUUCCAUUAUAUUUAUAAAAGUCUCAAAAUACAUCAUUUUUUUCCCCUUCACCUUGUAAAAUUUUCUGUCUAUAAUGUUAUUUAUGGAAUACUAGGUUGGAAGGGACCUGAAGAAUUUUCUGGUCCAAUCUUUCUUGGCAAAAGCAUCAUCCAGACCAGAUGAUCCAGCAUCCUGCCCAGACUAAUCUUAAAAGUGUCCAAAGUUGGGAAAUCCACCACAUUUUUUGGGAGAUUAUUCCAGUGGUUGGUUGUUCUUGUUAAAAAUAUUUCUCUUGUGUCCAAUUGGAAUUUCUGUGGAUGUAACUUGGACUCAUUGCCCUCUGACUUUUCCAUGUGUCUCAUUUUAAAAAUUGACUCUCCGUCUUCUUUGUAGCCACCCAUUAAAGACUAGAGCCAUUACCUCCAUCAGAUCUCCCCUGACCUUUCUUAUCUCAAGGCUGAGCAAGCCCAGUUCUCUCAAGCCUUUCCUCACGUGGCAGGCUUUGAGCCUUUGGAUCAUCUUUGUGGCCCUUCUCUGGAGCAUCUCCAGCUGCCCACCUAUUUUUUGUGAAGCAGGGACAAAAACUGAAUUCACUAUUCCAGGUGUAGUCUGGCAAGUGCUGAGUAGAGUGGGAUAAUGACAUCUUUAUCUGUGCUGUUGAUGCCCUUGUUGAUUCAGCCCAGCUUCUGGAGCUUCUCCCCCGCAGCUGGUAGAUCCCAGCUUGUGCUGCGCUCAGGGAUUAUACUUUCCCAGGUGCAAGACCUUACUCUUGUCCUUGUUAACUUCAUAAUGUUUCGGUAGCUCACUCUUCCAGCCUAUCCAGGUCUUCCCAAAGGGUGGCUCUUCAUCCCAAAGUGUCCAGUCUCGCACUCAGUUUAGGGGAAGCAAACUACAUCAGUUGCACUUGACCCCAUCACCCAGAUUUGCUUUUCAAGAUAUUAAACAGAGCUGGGCCCAAUAUUGAUCCCUGGGAGGCCCCAUUUGGGGCAGGGGGAAAGGAGCUGUUUGUCACCCUGCUCUGGGUGCAGCCUUUCAGGCAGCUGCCCACCAUGUGGACCCUUGUCUAGACCAUAGCAUCUCAAUUCUCUAGGAGGAGCCUGAUGGAAACUGCAUCAAGAGCCUUGUAGAAAGGCUCUUAAUAAAAUAAUAAUGUCCACUGCUCAUCCCACAUCAACUGAACAGGUUACUUCAUUGUAAAAGGUGAUCAGAUGAUCAGGUUGUUAAACAUGAUUUACCCUUGGUGAAGCCAUGCUGGCUUUUCCUAACCACAUGCUUCAUCUGAUAGCCCCAGAAGGAUUCAUUCCAUAAUUUUCCCAGACACUGAAGUAAGACUGAUGGGCCUAUAAUUUCCUGGAGCCUCCUUUAAGCCAUUUGUAGAGAUGGGUGUGACAUUAGUCUUCUGGGUUGCCCACAGUCUCCACAACUUCUCAAAGCUUGAGGAGAGUGGCCUCAUAACAACACGAACCAGCUCCUAACACCCUUGGGUGAAUAUUGUAAGGCUCCAUAAAUUUGAUGGGGUCAAGUUCCUGUAGAGUUCAUCCACCAGCUCUUCAUUCACUGAUGGUGGGUCUGUGCUUGCAUCAAUAUGGAUUUUUGAUCCCAAGGCCCAAUAGUGGUGGUAAAGAGAGGUGAAGAAAGCCUUCAGCCUUUUAAGUGUUGUUGGUGACUAAUUCAUCUCUCCUCUUUAACAAUGGGCCAGUAUUUCCCUUUUGUUUCUGUUUGUUGGUUACAAAUCUGAAGAACCCUUCCUUGUGGUUUUUGACAUCUCUGGCCCAUUUCAACUCGAGUUUUGCUUUUCUGACUGCAUCUCUGCACACCCUGGUAGUUCUCAAUGAGUAUUCAUUUAUUUCCAUCUCUGGUUCUUGUCUCUUUUAUUUCUGAGCAAACACAGAAGCUCUCAGUUAAGCCAAGGGGGUCUCUUGCUCCACCUGCUUUCCUUGCCUCUAAGGGGGAUGAAUAUUUUGUGCUUCCAGGAGAACAUUCUUGAAAAAAUUCCCAGCACUCACUAAGUCCUUUAUCCUCCAUGGAAUCCCUCUCACUUGAGCUCUGAGUGAGCUAAGUUGGCUCUUCUAUGAUCUCAAACCUUUGUCUUAGUACUAAUCUUCAGUGUACUCAGCCAGAACCCAGUGUUUUUCUGUAGGACCACCUUUAGGAUUUCUAGUAUAUGAUAAUUGCUCCUCAGGAUCCAGCUGUCAUAGAAGUACACACAUAUGGAGAUCUGACCUUUUUGUUCUGCAUGCUUGUUACAGAAAACUACUAUUAAUGAAUUUGGAUGUGGCUGCAAGCCAAGGAUGUGCUGUUCCAUGAGUGUGAUCCUGCAUCUGCAUUUUAGUCUUUCCCUCACAGACUGAAGACUGAUGCUCAGAGAUCAAAGUCAGAAGCUGAGAAGUGGGGUCCACUGUGUUUUUGAAUGGCAGGCAGAAGAAGUAUGAAGAAAAAUAGAAUAUAGUGAGAUAAACAGUUAUCAUUUCAUUUUAAUUUGCUAUCUGAAUGCUUGAUCUCAUUUGCCUACAUUUUCUCCACAAAGCCCUGUCUAAUCCUCCCCCACGCUAAGGCAGGGAGCAGAGUUUGCUGCUUCAUUCCCUUUGGGCAGCACAUGGAACUGAACAGAAAACAGAUCUCCCUUUAGUAUAUCCUAAAUUAUCAUCAUGUACAGCUGAAGUACUGAGCUGAACUUUUAGGAAAUGCAUUAGAAAAGAGGCCACAGCUCAGGUGCAGACAUGACACCAAGCCUAACAGUAAAUAUGCAACUGCAGGCCCACAAAAGCACAUUAACUAGUAAAGAUGAGGGAGACAGAUGAAAUUUUUCAUAAAUUAGCAUAUACUUGUGGCAUGUUUUCAUCUCAAAUGCUCAUGGGGCCACUGAUGCUGAGUGCUUCUGGCAAAUAUUCUAUUCCAGAGGGGAAAAGGGUUGCUGUGGAGCUAACCUUGCCCUCCCAGUUCACAGACGUUGCUAUGUAUGUGGCUGCAAAUUGGGGAAUACCAGAAGAGGAGCCACAGUGCCUGAGAUGCACCACCAGCACUGGUGCAUUUACUUGUGCAUUUAGAAAGAAUUUUCUAGACUGAAAAAUAAUAUCUAUUGCUGAUAAGUAAUGUAAGAUGAAAGAUGCUCAUUAUCUAUCCAGCUAUUACCAGUCAUUGUUAAGCAUACUUGUUCUCUAUCAGAUAGUUAAACUACUCUUUACUAGACUUAUGUGACAAAAACUGAGUGCCAUGUACUCCUCCAGAUACCAGGAAAGACACCCGAAUUUAAUAUGAAUUUUCCUCCAGGACCCAGCAAGAUCUAUACCUUUCUCUUGCACCUAAAAAGGUAUGGUAAAAUCUACCCUCAGUAUCAGGAUUUCACUCAGCUAUAAUGUUCUUAGUCUUCACCAAAGUGCCUCAAGAGCAUAAGAUUUGAAGCUUCCUGGUAAGUGCCAGAUUCUUUAGAUCUGUGCUCAUUUAUUGUCUUCGGAUGACUCAAGCACAGGCAAAUUCCUUACAGGCAGUAGUGAGACUGGUCUCAGAUUCACCUCUUCCUAAGUAGAAGUGGAGAUGCUUUGAGUUCAGGCUGCAGCAAAUCUCACAUCCAGAAAAAAAGUGUGUGUUCUGGAUAAAUCCACUGGCAAACCAUUUUUCCAUCCUGGGAAGAUCGUGAAGCAGUCGCUGCUUCUCGGCCUUCCUAGAUCUCCUCUAUGCUUGGGCACAAGCUCCUGCCUGUGAAAGGCGAUUUAGACUAACAGGACCAUAAGCCACUCAGGAUCAGCAGAAAUAGGGACCAUGAGUCUGACCAGAGCUGGUGAGUGCCACACUCCUCUGUGCUCACACUCCUCUCUGCCUGCUUUGGAGAAGGCUGAAUUGUGAGCUCUACUCUUUCUGCAAGUGGAAGAUUAGUGCUUUCUGAAUCUGAGAGAAAGGCAAGUGCCUGCAACUUAGAGCUGUCACUUUGUGUGAGUGGUGGUCUUUUCAAGUAAAUAUUUUUACCUCCCUAGGCUGGAUAACAGAUUGUGGCUCUUUGGUUUCUAUUUUUGCUUAUCUCAUCUAGAGUGAAUUGUAAGCAGGCAGGCUGUGCUUGUUGCCUGCCAGCGCAAGCCAGCCAAUCUAGUGCAAAAUCUGAUUAUAAGUCUUUUAUUUUCAACUCACUUAAACUCUAGUACUGUCCAGAUCUGCCAGCAAUGCUGCUCUGUCUCUGCAGGGGAUUGGUCUUUCCUGCCUGGAGAAUACCUUUAUCCCCAUUCCGCUCUUUUUUUUUUUUUUGCAGUGUAUGUAUGUGCACAUAUAAGGGAGGGAUGGGAGGGAGGAACAGCUCCCCUAAGAGACAAACAUCCAUUUCUCUCCCUAAGCUGGAAACCUAUUUAAAUCUGCUUGAUGGGAAUCAGCCCUUCAGCUGAUUCCCAACACAUGCACAAGGUAGGGUGAGCUGCUCUGCUGAGUUUUUAAAGAGCCCAUACAGCCUGUUACACAGGGUUUGACAUUUCCAGUGCAGGACCCAGCUUUCAGCUGUUUGUGCCAGGCUACCCUGAUUCACACUGGAAAAGUCGAUACUGGUUGUCUGCAACACGUGGGUAUUUUUCUUGCCUGGGGAAAAUAUCAACCAAAAGGUUUAGUAAUUUCUGAAAUUGAAUUUAGGAAGGGUAUAUUGAUUUUCAAUGGGGGGAAAAGACCCCAAACCUUUUUAUGGAGAAAGUUUGUUUUGAAAUUGAGCAAAGGAGGCCUUUGUCACAUGCUUUUUCAUGCCCCAAAGAAAAUCUACUCUCAUUUGCCCAAAUUUUAGGAUAUUUCAAAUCCCAAUUUAUGGAGAGACUUGCUACUGCUUAAGGGUUAAGGUUGUCCCAGAGCAAGCUCUUGACUCUCACAGUUACAGUCCUGUUUGUGCAUCAUUCCCACAGUUCAAAUAAGGCUCUCCAGCCCCUCUCAGCUCCUGGCCUGGGCACGCACUCUCAGUACAAAGCCACUACACAUGGUGCAGCCCAGGAUUAUACCAUGGAGACAGAAUUUCCCAAUAAUGGUUGUUUCCAGCUGCCACAUGCUGGGCUGGACCCAAGCAACGAAUGGAGAGCAGGGACACUUUGCUGCACUUUCAGUGACCUCUCUGUUGGCAUCUAGGCAAUGUGAAGGAAGAAACUGCCUGACUCAGAGGCAAGCAGUGCAAGAGCCAGAUCUGAGGCCUUCUUGUGGAAACCCAGCAGGCUGAACUGGAAGUAGGAGUAUGUGGGGUGAAAACUGGGACUUGCAGAGAGGGCAAAAAGUCAGGAUUGGCAGUACAGGAAUACUGUAAUUACUACAGCAAUGUUGUGAAGCCGUUAGAGAAAAUGACAUUUGGCAGAGACUGAAGAUCCAGAACAUUGGGGUUGUAGGCUGAAGAGGUGAAUGCAAGAUGGGGGUGAAAACACUGCUCAAGAAACUGAGGCACAAGAAAAGGAAACUGAUAGAGAAGUUCCUAUGAAGAGGGGAUAUAUUCUGAGAAUGCAGUCCCAGGAAACACACUGGGUCUAGAAACUAGUGGAUGUGGGUGGCUUUUGCAAGUGGACAUAGUGAGCAGUCCCAGACGAGAGAGAGCCAGGACAAAGAGUCAGGAGGGAAUUCAGAAAAAUUGGGCAAGGAGAUGUGGAAUACAGGCUUGGCUUGGCUUGGAGUUUGUAUACAAGGGCUUGUUUCUAAUGAAUGUUGGGGAAUUAAACAAAUAAGGCAACAAUUGCAACAAAACAAAAAGUAGCCAAAUUAUGAUCUACUUGUCAAAGACCUGUAAGUGUACACUCUGAGAAGACAAGAGGAAGCCCAGGACAGGAGCAGCUGCCUCGUUUGGACACAGGACCCACCCUUGCACUACUUGCAUGCUGAGCUGGCCACUGCCAGAGGGGACCACACCAUGCCCACUCAACUGGCUCUAGCAGGGAUGUGGGAGCCCAUGGUGGGUAGGUUUGCUGACUGUGGGCAUUCCUGGAAGCGACACUGCAGGCAGGGCAAGUCAAGAAUGUCACAUGCUGUGUGUGCAUCUUUCUCAGGGUGGACCAUACAGAUUUUCUAAUGUGAUUUUUACUUGCUUUCUGCUUGCCACCACUUGGUGGUCAGGCUGUUGGCUGCAUUCUGGCUCCAAACAGGAGCAGAGGUGCUGGCUAUCUCAAGUAACAAUAUGGCUCUUAAUGAUUUUAAACUAUCAAUCAUAUUAUUAUGGCAAGAUGAAAAUUGUGAAAUCUGCUCUAGAUUAAAUAUAUUGUAGUAUUCAUCAAAUUAUAAGCAGAUGAUUUUUGUACUUAGCAGCUUUCUUGUAUAGAUCCUUGCACUUUUGGAAAUAGCUCCUGAUCUUCCUCCUCUGACCAAGGUGUAUGGGCAUAACUGUGAGUGUUCAGGGUAGGUUGAUCCUGUUACUCGGGGUUGUGUUUAAUGAAAACUCCAGCUGUCUCCAGGUUUCCGUGUGCAGAAGGUUGUAAUGCCACACAGAUGGCACACAGGCCCAUGCCUGGUGCUGGUCUUCAUUUCUCUCUGCAGCAACACUGUUUGGGUGGGGCCAAUCUACUGUCACUUAAGAUCAACCAGGUUCCAUCAGCAUUUAAGAGUCUAUGUGGCAUUUUCUAUGUGAUGACCAAAUAUGUUUAAUAAGGCUGGUGUUAGCACAGACCACUGUAGGAAUCACUCCCUGGAGCUCUGGGGGUGGUUUUAUUGUACAGAGCCCACUGACAAUGUUUACUAGAGUAACACUUCAGUUACCAUUGAAACUCUUUGAGAAAGGAUGACUGAAGGCUUCAUCCGUGGACUGAUCUAACCCUGGUAAGAUGGUACCAGCAGUUACUCUGGGCUGAAGUCAGCUACAUUUCUUUCAUUCUCUUGACAAUCCUUUUUAUCAUAGUGAUUGGGAUAGUGUUGGUGUUUUGUUUCAGCUGGAAAUCUGACAGUGUCCCUCAUGAGACCUUACCAGGGCAUGCCAUGGAUGGCACCUGUCCUGCCAGGACAGCUGGCUCGGGCAUUGGUGGCUGCAGCUCAGGAGAGCAUUGAGCAGUGCUGUUAAAGUGGCACCUUUGUCUUCAGUAGCUUUUUACCCCAUCGUGAGCAUCCAGCAUCAGAUGGGUGUGGGGAUGAACAGAUAUGGAUAACACUUCUUUUCCAAUUUAUGUAUCAGUUACAGCAUUACAUUGUAAAACCUACACACUAAACUAGAUUAAAAUAUCCUCCAAUUUCAGUUUGUGAUUUUUAUGAUCUUUUUCCUGGUAAUACCUAAUGCUGUACAUUACUUUGUAUGUUCAAAGCAGUUUCUGUAUCCUCAGCUAUAGUUAUCUUCAGCAUGUCUACAAAUCAAAUCCGAGGUUAGGAAGUCAGCACCCAAAACAAAGCAUAUGAAACUAAGGAGUAGCACAAUAAGAACUCAUCUGCUGAAACCUUCUUACAGAAGCAGACUCCAUUCCCCCAGUGACAGAGUUCUGCUACCAUAAUUGUAAAGCAAUCCUAUUUCUUCCUGCAGUCGCCUGUGGCAUCAUUCAUCAUUCAUUUUCCAUCUUCUGCAACAAUGGGAACAAGGGUCUGGCAGACAACAGAUACUUUUGGCUCAGAAAUUGUGUCAUACCCACACCAGGCCCAAAAAAGAAAUAUUCAGUGUUGUAAGUGAAAACUAUGCUAAAAGUUAGAAUUACAAAAUUAGCUUUGUCAAGUUUUAGUGGUUGAUUGUGUAAUAUUAAUACUGUUGGAAUAUAUUUUUCUUUUCUGAAUACAGAUCCAUUCCUGUGUUCUACCUGUUUGGAAGCUCACAGUCUUUCUCCUCACAGCAGGUGCUGAGAAAAAAUUAUAGGAAGUAAGAAAAACAGGGAAGUUAAUUUGAACUAGUCAAUGCAGGCAGAUGGAACAUGCUGGCAUUACCAUUUCACUGCUAUUUAGAAUGAGAAAGGCCAACAGAAAGGGUUCAAGGACAUUUUUGCAGACAAACUCCUGGAAGCAAUUAUGUUGGGAUAAGCAUAAGACUACACAUAUGCUGUUUUAUAAGAAACAUUAUAGUCCCUCUAUACAAGGCUUCUGCACCAGAAAAUAUUAUUUGGUUUUAUGAAAAUAUCUGGAAAGUAGACAAAGUAAGUGAUUGAUUUUUCUUCAACUUGAUGAUUCAUUUGUAGUUCUGGAAAUACCAUAAUAACAAUAAUCUUGCAGCAAAUAAUGUGGUAGUUUCUACCACUGAACAGACCAGAGAGAGAGAGGUGGGACUAUCUGGUUCCAGGUUGUUUAUGCUGUACAUGUGUCAGCACUUUGUGUGCAGUCUGUCACAGUGUGCAGGUGGCCUUUAGGAUAGUCUGUGUAAAGUACUACCUUGGGGAGUUCCAGCUUUUUGUCCACUGCUUGAGUGGGAGCUCAGAAGCAAUCUUCUCUCUGGAGCACUCUCCAGACACAGCCUCAGAACUGCAGUGUUACUAAAUACCCAAAUAAAAUGCAAAAUUAUUGAGGGAAAACUUGUGGACCAAGUAUGCUGCUCACUAAACCUGUUUGUCUUUCUAGACACCAGCAAAGGGUGAUGAAAAGGACUCUUCUAUUAAAAAAAAAAUAACAAACAACCCAGCCUGUUUGUGAUAUGUAAUGUUAUUUCCUUUCAGAAUCAGGUUGGCAAUGUCUCUUUAAUGUGCAGCACUGUGAACUUAAAAGAAAUCUCAUUAUCAGCCUUUCUAGCCUUAAGCACUUCAUCAAGUAUUCCAUGACUGCUGGCUUGCAGAUGCUGCAGUUAAGGUGCUGGGUGGUGGGGUUUUGUUUGUGUUCCCUUAGGUCUUUUUCUUGUUUUCAUAUGUGGCUAUAAAUAUCUUACUCCUGAGAAAAGACAUGAAAGUACUUACACAGCCAUUAAUUAGACAUCACAUGAUUUUUUUUUCUCAAAUUCUGAAGUCACAAAGUAUAACUUUUAAUUACCUGUUUUUGUUUGGGGAAUAGUAGUUUCUUCCUCAGGCAUAUAUCAAGAUGAUCAGAAACAUGUAUAAUUUCUUCUCCAGAAUUCUUGAUUUCCCCUGGCCAACUUUUAAUAAAUAAGAAAACAUCUAUGCCUGAAUCAAAGAGUUAUGCACCCCUGAGUAAAAGUUCCAGUUCUUCUGUUGUGGGUCUCAGCACAGUACAUCUAUCAUGCAUUGUUCACAGAGAUUCUUGAGAUAGAGAUCAAAACCGAGUAUAGUUCAUUUCAGUUAAUUUCUUAAUAUCUAAAUUAUAGGCAGAAAACUUAAUUCCAAUGUAGUCCUAUACAACCAGCUAUGCAAGUAACUUUUUUAAUCUUUCCCUGCCCCAAAAUAGUUGGUAAAUGAAACCAUACCACCUAGUUUAGACUACAUCCAGAGACUAUUACAUGCUCAUGCUGUACAUCCAAGCAUAAAGGGGAAGACUCCUUUUUGCAAAAUCCAAACAUGCGAGUUUAGGCUGAGUGGUGUGGUAUUUUGGGGAGGCAGCUUUCAUUGCAGUAGAAGCUCAUAAUGAUCCACUGGUGUCAGAAACAGCUACAAAUUGCUGAGAGAGCUUUCAGACAAAUGAGCCAUUGAAGCCAUGAUUCACUAUUUGCAGUACUUCAGGCUUCAAAACUCCUUCUUGCAGUUCCACUCCCAUCAGCAUGCAGGAGACAAAUGUGGGGCACAGGACUGUGUGAGGACUGCACUCACAGCUGCAGAGCCUCCACUCUGCUGAAGCUUUUGAAAUAGCUCUGCGGAGGAGGAUUUCACAGACAUCUGAAGGUAUCCUAAUGACUUUUAGACUUUGAUGUGCUUGGGCUAACCCAGUUCAGAUUCUCAGUACAUACAAAAUAUUAAGACAUCUUUUAAUGUUUAAUUUCUUUAGUUUCUUUUCUUCCUUUUUUUUUUUCUCUGCUUGUUUUUAUUCCUUUCUGCUCAGUUUCUAAAGAGUCAAGGCUUAGAUGUCCAUGUCUCCCCAAUAAUUAUUGGAUUUGUUACCAAGUUUGAAUUAGAAUUGACUAAAUUCAAACAUAUUUGAAUUUACUCAGAGGCGAGUUUAAUUUUCUGAAAACAGGCAGCUGAGAGAAGAAAUAAAUUAAAAUCUGUGAUUCCUCACUGAAAAACUACAAGAGCUCAGCUCUUAUUAGGUGUCAGGGAAUCUGUUCAGGGGAGAGAACAAUGUCUGUCUGCACCCAAACCACUAUAAAAGCUUCCAUGAAAACUCUGUAUGGAUAGAAAAUGGGGGAAUCACAGUACAGACACUUUGUGUAUAGGGUGUUGUACCAUUGCCAUUUCUUUGUCCAGUGUGAAAGCAGGGAUGAACCAUUACUUAUGACUUGUGCCCUCCUUUCCUUUCCACCUAGUGUUGUCCCAAUGUCCCCCAAGCUGCAUCCCUGAAAUUUAUUUCCUGCCUCCCAACUAACACAACAGAAGUUUAUGAAUUCAGAUUUGAAUUUUGUUUAUUUGCCAUCCAAACCAGCAUUUCAACUACUCCCUGCCUGCUCUGUGAAAUACUUACUGUAAAAAAGCUCUGCUGUGGUCAUAGGCUAUUUGCUAUUUUAAUUUGAUUGCAGAUGUUCCUGCACUCCCCUAAGGCUGGCUGUGUCUCUUUCACACUUGGCUUUCAUUUGCUUUUCCAGCCUGUAUUCAUAUCAGGAAGACAUUUGUCUGAAUCAGUGGCACACCCAUCCUAUGACCGUAAAUUGGCAUUCUCACUAGUUCUUAGCCUAAAUUAAAAGUUCUCUGUUUCUCAUAGAUAUUGUAAACCUGCUUUUCUAAGCUUUACAUCUUUAUAGAAAUACAGCUCUGGAUUGUGAUGAAUGGUUUUUGGGGUCCUUAGGACAUCUGGCUGUCAUAAAACCUGAAAGAACAGUAUUUAUAGCAAUAUUUUGAAUUUAGAAAUUACUACUAUUAACAAUCACAGAUUACUAAAGCAUGUGGUUUAAUCUGAAGGAAUUGUGAUCAGAGAAUAAACCACUGGGCUCAGAGAGAGAACUGGUAGUCACUCAGUGCACACUCUGUUUUUCCUCUUUCUAAUUUUGCAAAUGGUGUGAGAGCAGAUCUAGAAUGCUGGAGAUGUAUGAUGAAUACAUGGAUGAUCGUGGAAGUGCUGGCUACUCUGGUCACAGACAUCUGUCUUUGGGAAAGGCCAACACUUAAAGCUCUAUUAAAGGCAUCUCAGUGAGUAUUUGAAUUGCCAAGGCAUUGAGGGACAAUAUGUCCCACCUGUGAUGAAGAAGCAAGAGCACCACUGACCAAGUGGCUGUUUUCAGGUGCAGAGUCAUAUUUUUAUGGAAGAAAAGGGCCAGUCACCCAUUUUCCAAUUUUCUUUUUUUAUUAUGGCUAUACCUUGAAAGUCCAACUCUUCCAUGACUAAAACUGAGCUUGAGCCAUGCUUUCUGUGACUCUCAAAACUGUGUUAUUUUAAAUGCUCUGUCAGUGUUCCUGUGAGAUUCCGUCAGUUGAUCCCUGUCAGCCAAGAAAACUACCUCUACCUUAUCCUACGGCACACGUGUUGGUCAUUGACUGUGGGUACAGUGGCCACAGACCCUCUGAUCACUUUCUUCCAUCCAGAAUCUUUUUUGCUACAUUCCUGUCUUGCACCAGCUGUGCUAUAUCACUCUCUUUGGCUUCUCAUCCCAACCUUUUUCCCUUGCUCCAUGCUCUCUGUCCAGACACCUCUCCCUCUCUAGCCUGUUCCUUCCUUGGGUGAUUAUUUCUUCUGGAUUUCCCCAUAGCAGCAACAGGGUCCAAAGUAGUAAAUGAGAAACUUGCUGAGGAAAACCACCUCAGUCAGCCCCAGACUAGCAGAGAAUCACUGAAGGCAGGAUCUUUGAAACACCAAGCUAUGAAUCUCUAUCAAGACCAAACUGAUCUUGCUAAGGCUCAGAAUUCAUCCAGGCUGAGUUGGAUUUCCAGGGUGGCUAAAGCACUCCUGUCAAAUUUAAUGCUUUUCCUGAAAAAGUAUGGGGCCUUUGGGACUGUCUAAAGAUGAGGCUGCCAUUCUUCUCAGUGUGAGGGAAACUUAUACUUGUUGAAGUGCAAAAGCAUCUUGGCUGAAAUUUUUAUAUAGAGUCUGAGACAAUUCUUGGUAGAAGCACACAUGCAUCCCACGUAUCCAGCCUUAGGCAGACACCUGCCAUGGAAAAUGUGAGCUCUGGUGACUGAAGACUGACAAUAGCAUCAGCAAUGGAAAAUGUGGGCUAAUAGCAGGAACUAUCAGGCAGUAUUUAACAGGUGAGUUUUCCCAAUGCCACCCUAAAUUAUCCCACUACUGCAAAGCUUUUAAAAGAUUCAAUGAAGUUAUUUGUUCUUUGCAGUAAUUUUCCUCUUUAAAACCUUUGGCAUGCUCUUGUUCGCAUAAAAUAACGAUUUACGGAAAUAGAGGAAGUUGAAAUCCCACCCAUCCUUUUCUCUCCUGGUUUAUUUAUUUUCCAUGUGAGAUUAAUGAGUUUCCUGCAACAGGGCUAGAUCUGCUCACACAUUGUGCAGAUAAGUUAAUAUUUAUUUCCUUUUCCAAAGGGCAGCAGACACUUUCGUGUUCCCUGGUUUUUAAAAGCGGACAGUAUGUCAAACAACACUUGAAUCAACCAUCCUAAACUAUAAAAUGCCACCUUUACAUUGCUGACUGGAGUUAAACAGACUGGUAAAUCAGGGUGAGCUGUACUGCUGGAUGCUAACAUGGAAGCUUAAUUUAACUGGCUUCAUUUUUUUUUUUUACCAGCAGAUACUUUGGAAAGAGCACAUCUGCCUAUUUAAGGGAUUUUCUUUAAUUUAGUGCCUGUCUGGUGUCAGGCUCCACUGCUGUGUGCAGUGAAGCUCACAGAAGCUGGUUUCCUAUCCCCUUACCCUCCCAGUUCCUUCCUGCACCCCAGUGCCAUUGCUCCUUCCUGCAAUAUCUCCAGGUGCCUGGGCAUCCCCUCUGGCAGACUGGAGGGAUCCUGGAGCAGCCACACUCGAUGGAGCACCCCCUCCAGUGGGUGCUGCUCCCUUUGCCCAGCUGGGGAGGCCAGGCAUUCAUCUCUCCCGGACAAGCUGCCAGUUUUCACUUUUGGAAUUUCUCUGUCACAUGCCAGGAAGUGGACAAGUGGCAGGGGACAGGAGGAAGGCUGGGGAGACGUGAUGGGCAGAUGGUGUGAACAUACAUGCAACAUUUCCUAGGGAAACCAGGCUAAAAGGAGCUCCUUAUUGCCAGGGCAUUAUGUAAAAGAGAUGAGAAAUGCUGUGUGUGACUUGGUUCAAGAGGCAAAGGAUAUUUGUACUGUUAGUUAAUUUCUUCUUCCAGGGUCAGCUUCAGUGCACCACUUACAGCUCCUUCCUCUCUCUCUCUCUAGUCAAGUCACCCCUAAUAGCCAAGGAGAAAAAUAACCAUUCUCUUAACGUAUGAUUUUAAAUUUUCUGUUUUAAAUGUAAGCUGGACAAGUAAUUUGAAAAAGUUACAGCUGUCUUAGGCCCCUGAGUUUCUAACUCCCUGCUGCUGGAAGUGUGAAUCGGGGCAGUGCAGCAGCAGUUGGUGGAGCUGUGCCAGGGUAAACGAAGGGAACUAUUCCAACCAUGUGUGCAAACUCCCCCAGAGAUUUACUCACCUUCUGAAACCAAAGAGCUGAAAGUUCAUUCCAAUUUCACUUAUCUGCCAAGGCUGAAGUUCAGUAAUUCAUAUUUUUAGAUUAAUAAAUAAUGAAACAGCUAUACCAGAGCAGGGAAGGCUUUGAUUAAGCAUUUUAUAGCAAGUAAAAGAAAACAUUGAAUCUUGUGCUCAGGAGCUGGCAGCAAUGGGAAGCAGGAAUGCCUUGGUUCAAACACGUCUGUAUUUAAAAAAAUAAAGGGAAAGAAAAAGAAACCUGGAGAGGUUCUUUCCUAUGACUUUACAGGCAGCACAAUAAGCCUGGCACUUCAAUAAGGGAACUGUCAUAGAUACAGCUUUCAUUGUCUGUGCUCCCACUGCCACAGAUAAAGAAUAAGAGAGCCUCUGACUCACAGCACUGGAGCAACACAUCUCUUAUCUGACACCCCAGUCUCAGCUAGAAUGAAUUUUUCAAGACACAUGCUCACUGCAAUUGAGAAUUUCAGAGCAAGUAACAGGCAAGCAGUGUUACUACUGCAUUACCUGUAAACCUUGUACUUCAGAAGCCUGUGUUUGAAAAGCAGACCUGCUGUUCUGAGCACUAUAAGCACUAAAUGUUGCAUUAAAUACCCUCAGAGAGAGCAUUCUACAUGUUCCAAGGGUUCCCUGGAUCUCAGACCUUCCACUCCAUUAGAGGCAGUGGCAGUUUCAGAGCUCUCACUUUGCACACCCCUCUCUUAGAAGGGGGCCUCCUCCCUCAGAAACAACAGGCAGGAUGAAAUCAGAACGGGACAACUCAUUUCCCACUCGCCAUUUUUAAAAGAAAAUAAACUAAAAAUGAUUGCAGAAGUUCAAAGAGAGACCUGUAAAGUCCUUCAGAAUUACCCUGAGGCUCCCAGGAAGAAUAAGGUCUGACAGGGUUCAUAGUUUUAUGUAGUCAGGCAGGGACUAAAAAAGAUGUAAGUCUGUCAUGCCUCCUUUUCUCUUUUCCAUACUCAUCAGUAGCACAUGAAUGAGAAUGAAUGGAGCAGCUCAAGAAUAUUGCUACAGAGGUACAGAUUGGGAGAGGAUUUCUCAUUGAGAAACUAAGUAUUUUUUUGCAAGAAAUACACCAUCCAAACUCCAGAGAUACAACAGUGCUCCAUAAAGGAAGUUUUAAGUAUUUUCCCCAUAACAAGUCAUUUAGAUGGCUUAGCCUCCUUAAUUAUGGUUUUUUGGAGAUGAGUUGUCAGGCAUUUUAUUUUUAAGAUUUGAGAGUUACAAAUGAAGAUUAAUGUGACCUAGAAAAUAUAUUUGCUCAUUUAACAUCUGGCCUCAGCCUUUGUUUUUAGUAGCAGGAAAAUUUUCAUUAACUGUUCUUGAAAUGGUUACAGUAGGCUGUGAGCAGAGUGCACAAGCAACAGGAGGGGGUUGCAGUCAGUGAAAAAUGAACUCAGGUCAGCAGCUGGUGAACUCUGGUUGCUGAAGACUCUAUAUAUUCCUAUGGGACUAGUUCCCAUACCUCUUUUGCCUUGAGAUUACACUGCCACCUCAGGGACAACCACAUCUCUUUUGCUUUGAGAUUACACUUAGCUAAAUUCCUGAUUUAUGGACUAAAGAAUGGCUCCAUUACAAUUCCUCUCCUCCUAGCCACACCACUCUUGGACUUGCACUGAUGUAGUUUCAAAAAGAGAUGGACUUUGUUCCCACCUAAUUUUGUAGCCUACUGACCUACAGUCAUUGGAACUGUUGGCUUAGUUUUUUUCAGUCAAGAAGGAAGUUAGAGUGGUGGCUUAUUUCCAGAGCAAGAGCCCCAGCAUCCAGGUUGUUACACAAACCUGUGUGGGUUGAAAUGAAAGUUGCCACAGUUGCUGCUAUCUUAGGUGUGAAGAAAGCAUGGAGCUGCUCAGUUUGGCAAGGUGGCUGUAUCUCUGGACAGGUGUGGUAAUAGAAGUUUGGAUACAAAUGAUGCUCAGGUGCCCAUAAACUCAGGCACAUAAACAAGCUUUUUGUGAUUGGUCUGUUGGGCUGAGGCAUUAUAAUUUCUCCCAGGGCUUGCUUCUUUGUCUUGGACCUCUCUCACUAAGGUUGUCCUGCCACCCAAGCAGUGAGUUGGAGAGUCCUCUCUGCCACUGCAAAUAAGACUGGGUAGUUCUGGCCUCAGCUGUAACAACUUCCCUCUGCUGUCCUCUGCUGCAGCCAAUGCUCAGGGCUGGAAGCUGCUCUGCUGUGACCAUCUGAUGAUAGUGGUGCUGGUAGCUGCUCUUUCCACAUUUCCAACCACCAGAUUUGAAGACUUGUCAGAGACAGGUGUAAACAUUCAUCCUUUCU